CAUGCAAGUCGAGCGGCAGCGGGAAAGUAGCUUGCUACUUUUGCCGGCGAGCGGCGGACGGGUGAGUAAUGCCUGGGAAAUUGCCCAGUCGAGGGGGAUAACAGUUGGAAACGACUGCUAAUACCGCAUACGCCCUACGGGGGAAAGCAGGGGACCUUCGGGCCUUGCGCGAUUGGAUAUGCCCAGGUGGGAUUAGCUAGUUGGUGAGGUAAUGGCUCACCAAGGCGACGAUCCCUAGCUGGUCUGAGAGGAUGAUCAGCCACACUGGAACUGAGACACGGUCCAGACUCCUACGGGAGGCAGCAGUGGGGAAUAUUGCACAAUGGGGGAAACCCUGGUGCAGCCAUGCCGCGUGUGUGAAGAAGGCCUUCGGGUUGUAAAGCACUUUCAGCCAGGAGGAAAGGUUGGCGCCUAAUACGUGUCAACUGUGACGUUACU
rnacentral:rRNA from 3 species